rnacentral:lncRNA from 1 species
GUGGAUGUCUGCACCUGCCUGCCUGCUGCACGUGGGGACCCAGCCCCGUGGGGACCCAGCCCCGGGGCCGGGUGGUGACACUAAACUCUCUCCUUCAUGCAUUCCCCUUUUUUCGUUUGUUUUUUUGAGACAAGGUCCCACUGUGCAGCCCAGGCUGGCCUUGAACUGCAGCCAACCUCCUGCCUCAGCCUCCCGAGGGGUGGGAUGACCAGCGCGCACCGCCACGCCUGGCUCCUCUAUUCACUUAUUCCACGUGGGAGGCCGCAGGAGUGGUCACAAGAUGGAACGGAGAACGUGGCUGACCCAGGGCCGCUGGAGAUCAGCGCUGCGCGCAGUCUGGUUUCCAGAUCUGUCUUCGUCCCCAUCUCUUUUCCUAUAAUUAAAUCGACCUGAGAGAUAAGAUUACGGGCACCGUUUCAUAACUUACCACUUACUCCACCGUGUGCUGCCUUCGAGGCUGAAAUCGUUUCUGCGAAGCCUGUUUCCCGGCAGGGCACUGCUCGGCCCUCUCCCGCGCUUGAACGGCCGGCUUGCGCCACCUUCGCUGAGAUCUCACUGGAUUCCUUCCGGCGAAGCUAGACCUUCGCUGUGGCUUCUACUAAGAGCGACUUCCUAGGGGUGAAAUUUGUGAGUUGAAGAGAAAGCGCUAUGUAACACAUUUUAACCUUAUUUAUUAUUUUGUUUUACAUUUUUUGUGUGUGUGUUUUGAAACAGGAUCUUGC